AAUUGAGAACACUUUUUCACAGAGAAGAGAGAAUCAUCUAAAUAAGCAACUGCUUUCGGCAAUAAGCAAAUCGAGUGUGAAUUUUAGCCCGAUGAUUCCAUUAAUAUCAUCGAUGAAGAACAUGGAUGAAUGAACCACGAGUUGCUACAGUUUUUGAAGGCUUUCGAUCGUUAUCAUCGAUAUGGCAAGAUACGUUCAUUUUUAAAUGCUCAUCUAUUUCCAUGACACUGAUAAGACAUUACUGAUAACAUAGAUACCAUCACCCAUGUCUUCAUUUUGGUUUUUUUUUCUUUUUGUGUUAUAACGAACUAGCAGUAUUCUCGUAUCUGUCUAAUCGUAAAAAUGAUGUACCCGCGUCAAUAUAUCGGUAUAAUUUUUCUAUGUUUCUCAAUACCUAUCGUUUGCUAUUACUGAAAUUCGCCAUUAAAGAUAAUUGAAACAUGCUGUGCUCUAUCAGAUCUCAAAAUUUUAUGGACAACAACAACAAUGGCAUCGGCGAUAUCAAAGUUAUGCCAAUAAGAAAUCAUUCGACGAAAAUAAUUCAUGAAAAAAUCCAAACUAUGAUGCAAAAGUAACGAGCGAACUUGAGCACUACUUUAACUCCGAAGUUAUAGGAAUCUUGUUAUCACCUGUCAACAAUAAAAGACUUUGGAGAUGAUAUUUCUGAUUUUUGUGAUAUUCAUCCUGAAUAUAAUUAAGAAAUGGUCGAAUUGGAAGUAUUAAAUAUGCUAAUUGUAUAUCUGACAGUAAUAAUAAUUAUUGCGAAUAAUUAAAUUAUUCUCUAUCUCAUUCUCAAUCAUAGUAAUCAGACCAACAUGAAUGGUUUAACAAAAUUUUAGAAAGUGUUAAAGUGUCUGGAGAAAAAUAUAAAGAUUAUUACAUAUGGGCGGAUCCUGUCAAUGAAACUGACAUGGUGAAAUUGAAGUGACUACCAAAUAAUUGGCUCGGUGUAUUUGGGAGUCCAGAUUGGACUUAUUAUUCAUAUCGAAAGUAAAUAUAUUUUCAUCGAUUUCUUUGAAAACAACGAGAUCCGAAUUACAAAAAUUCUGAGAUGAUAUUCGAAUUACAACAAAUAUGUUUCAAUGAAGAAACAUCAUGAAUCCUUAUGCUAAGAUGUAUAAAGAAGAAAAAAAGGUACACUGAUAUCUUCUGUGUAAUUAAUGUAGUCAAAUGCUACUUUAAAAGAUGCUGAUUUAAAAAAUGUGAUAGACACAUGGAUUUAAACUACGCCAAUAAAAAAUGUUACCUGAUUGGUUGAUGAGAAAUCACGAAUGCAAUCGUAUCGCUGGGAGGCUCGAUCAGAUAACGAUGUUGACAAUGAUUUUGCUUGAUGUUGUGAUAACUUAUUAUGAAAAAUAAAUUGAUAUAAUGAUUAAUCAAAACAUAAUAUUUAAACAGAUGCUCAAGCUUGUAGCACUGUUAAGAAAUCUUAUAAAAGCAAAUCUUAUCUUAUCCUUGUAUAACACCAUUUCUGUGGAAUAAUACGAUCAAUAUAGAAUUUCAACAGAACCUUGGUAACCAGUUAAUGAAAAUUAUGAAACACUAAAUUUGGAACAGUAGAAAAAAGAUACUAACUCAUAUUACAAGAUUUACACUGCACUAACAACUGCACUAACGAGGUUACGAAGUUCAACGAGUGCACUCAAAAAUGGAUCGUAUCAAAGUAAUGUCAAAAAUAAUAAUCUAACGAAGAUGAGUUAGUAACUGUUCUUAUAAAUUUUUCGAAUAAUAAAUCGCAAUCGAUCAAUCUCACUGACGUGUUAGAAAAUAUUUCUAUAGCUAUAACAAUUUUUGUUGAAGAGAAAAAGAAAAAAACGAAAAUUUGCAAAUGUCGAGUCAAAAAUAUAAGUCAAUAAAGAACAAGAUGGAUAUACUGUGAUCGUUUCAGAAAAAAACUCCGAUAAUCCUUCAUUCAACGUAUCAACUUUCCAAUGUUUCCAAGUAAUAUACUAACUAUCUUCUAACUAUUUUACUGCUAACAUUCACCAUAGCAUUAAAAUUAUAAGAAAGAAUAAAUUAGUGCCAUUAAUGUUUCUCAUAUAUUUAUCUUCGUAUUACAUUUAUAUCAUCGUGCAUUAAAUUAAAUUAAUCAGAAUGUGAAAAGAAAAUAAUAAAGUUCUAUAAAGAUUUUAUAUAUAAAAUACGUAUUCCUAUAUAUAAUAUUUUGAUAAAUAUAUUAUUUAAUCAUGCAUUAUUAUGCGUAGAUUUCAUAGUGUAUUAACUAGUGUGAUCAUAAUGUGUAUCAUUGGUAUGAUACAUAAUUCUUUUAUUAUAAUAAUAACGAUUCCUAUAUCUCGCUAAAUAUUCAUUCAUAUACACUUUAUAAAUCUUAUUUACACAAAUAAAAAAGAAGAAAGUCUUGCCAAAAUGAUUGGCUUACUUUUGUAUUGUGAGCUAAGUUUUUAAAACUCGUUUCAGUAGAUAACGGUGAAAGUGCCGGAAGUAUUGCACAAAAAUUAAUUGCAGGUUUUGCAAUAUCUUUUUUAUUCUUUUUUAUUAUUUUAAAGAAUAAUUUCCCAUCGGAAAACAUUCCUUUCGAUAAAAUAUGAAAAAUUCACGCAGUUACCAUUUUAUCAUCAUUAUUAUCAUCACCAUCCAUAUCACGUGAUUUUUAUAAAUUUUAAUAGGAAUAUUGAAGAGUGAAAUGUCAAAAGCGAACGGCAAAAAAAUCGAUAGAAACGUUAUUUCUUCAUAUAGUCUUAAAUUUUUAUCUAAUAUCAAUAUAGAAAGUGCUGAAUCGUGAAAAUUCUAAAAAAUAGUAUCCCCCUUCAAUCCCUCAAAAUGGUCAUGUUACGUUUUACAGAGUUGUCGUUGAAAUUUAUAUUCCCGAAUUUUCGCACCAUUACGAAUCUCUUGGACAGUGAAGGUAGAUAAAUGAGAAACUAGGUCGAAACCGUUACCGGCACCUACUUUUUCUUGAAGCAGCAGACCCCUCCGGGUAUACUGAUCGUUUGCCGAAAAAUGUAAAUCCAAUUUUCCCUCCCAAUUUACCCUGACAUUCGGUACGCUGAAUACAAUCCCGCGCAGCCUCACAUCAAGUACGCACGCUCCCGAUUCCAUUCGAACGGUAAUUUCCUUUCUCCAUCGCCGCAAGAACAUUUUCGAAUAAACUUACGUCCUUCGCUUUACCUUUUUCUUCGUUUCACCACAUAGUCUUUCUUUUCUUUUCAUUCCUUCGAUAAAAAUUGAAACGACUCUGGUUUGAGAUAUUUCUGACAAUUAUUCAAACAAAAAAAACCAAAUUAUCAUUUGAGAAAGAUGAGAAAGUUGGUAGAUUAUUGAUUUUAUGAUCGAAAAGUGGGUUGUUCAAUAUGGAAAAAAAAGAUAAUCAUUGAUGAUUAUACAAGACUACACAUUAUGUGUACAUCGAUCAUAAUAAUGCCACUAUAUAAUGAAUAAUUUAAACGUUGAAAACGCUAUUAUGUUUCUCCUUAUUAUUUGUAUUAUUUUACGAUGUAAUUCGUAUGCUUUUCGUUUUUCUUAAUUUAUAUAUUAUUUUAUGUAUUGUACAUACAGCAUCAUUUAUAAUAUAUUGAAAAGUAUAGAUUCAUUUAAUAUAAACGUAUGAUGUAUAGAUAGUUUCAUAAAAAAUCGAACAAUUGAUUUUUCGAAAAAAGUUAAAAGAAAUGUCAACCGACUUAGAAACUCAAUACGAUCGUAAUACAAUUUUACGUUCUUAGAAUAAUUCGAUUCAAUUUAUUUGUAUUAAAAUCGUAGAAAUCCAAUGAUGAAUAAUACUCGAGAUCUUCUCGUAGUUUGUAACGGAGCUUUGCAUUUCUCGAUGGAAUAUAAGCGGAGUUCAAGUAUCGGUUCAAAUGUAAACCACGUUAUCGUCAUCUUAAUUAAUAUUUGAUCGAGCUUUGGAUUAAUGUAAAGUUUAAAGCAACAACUUCAAAACACGUUACACGCCAUCGAUUGCUCAUUGAUUGUAAUUAGUUUUCCGGCAAAAUCGAGAAAACAAAAUAAUUUAUUUCUAUGCAUUGGCAUAGAAAUAAUUUUACAUAUAUUUUAGAUAAGAUGUCUAUAUAAGGAUACGAUGUGACAUAAGUGUUUUUUAUAUAAAUUUUACUUUAAAUCGAUCUAUCUAUUACUCUGAGAGAAAAAGGAAAAAAAAAAGAAUAUAAAUUAUGCAUUGCUUUUGAUGCAUCGACUUUAAUUCGAUGACAUGAGAUCAAAUAUUGUUGAUAUUAAAAAAUGAUUUAUUUAUAUUGACGUUCUUUCAAUAAGUUCUGGUACAAGUUCUUAAUAUGAGUACUAUCAAACAAAAUGAAUAUGGACAAUUUCGAAACAAACAAUCACAAAACAUUCUCAGUUUUUGUGAGAAAUGUGCAAUUCGAUAAAAAAGAACUUACAAAAUAUUUUUCAAGAAAAUAAAUUCGAAGAAAGAAGAAGAAGAAUUCUUAUUAUUAUUAAGCUAUAAUAAUAAAUGGAAUAAAAGAUUUAAAAGUUUUGUAAUAAUACUUUCUCAAUGAAAACUUCUCUAUACUGUAUUUUAUCGAAGUAAUUACUAUUCCUGUUAUUAUAUUUAUUUACUUCUCGCAUCAAAAAAAAUCGGUAUUUGUUAUAGAAAAUCGAUUUCUCUGAAUAUUCUCGAUAGAUAGAAAAUUACAUAUCGGAAAUAUUUAUUUUAUGAAAAACGUCAUCAGUAACACAGCUAUCUAAAAAUAAUUUAAUCAUGCUACUAAUUCAAAGUGAUAAUAGUAAAACAAAUAGUAAUACCAUUGUAAUGAAAAAGAGCAUAUUCAAAUGAAAUACAAUAAAUAUGGAACAAGGAAAUCGAUGUUCACAUAUAGUGAAUGAAAAAGUGUUCGCAUUAUAUUUAAAUAGAGAAUCAAAUUCAUUGUUGUAUGAAAAAAAAAUUUUCUAAAAGAUAUAAUAACACAUGUAUAUUAU